rnacentral:rRNA from 1 species
AGUGAACGCUGGCGGUAGGCCUAACACAUGCAAGUCGAACGGCAGCACAGUAAGAGCUUGCUCUUACGGGUGGCGAGUGGCGGACGGGUGAGGAAUACAUCGGAAUCUACUUUUUCGUGGGGGAUAACGUAGGGAAACUUACGCUAAUACCGCAUACGACCUACGGGUGAAAGCAGGGGAUCUUCGGACCUUGCGCGAUUGAAUGAGCCGAUGUCGGAUUAGCUAGUUGGCGGGGUAAAGGCCCACCAAGGCGACGAUCCGUAGCUGGUCUGAGAGGAUGGUCGGCCACACUGGAACUGGGACACGGUCCAGACUCCUACGGGAGGCAGCAGUGGGGAAUAUUGGACAAUGGGCGCAAGCCUGAUCCAGCCAUACCGCGUGGGUGAAGAAGGCCUUCGGGUUGUAAAGCCCUUUUGUUGGGAAAGAAAAGCAGCAGGUUAAGACCCCGCUGUUCUGACGGUACCCAAAGAAUAAGCACCGGCUAACUUCGUG